UACAGAGGGUGCGAGCGUUGUUCGGAUUUACUGGGCGUAAAGGGCGCGUAGGCGGCCAGCACAAGUCAGUUGUGAAAUCUCCGAGCUUAACUCGGAAAGGUCAACUGAUACUGUGCGGCUAGAGUGCAGAAGGGGCAACUGGAAUUCUUGGUGUAGCGGUGAAAUGCGUAGAGAUGUGGAGGAACACCAGUGGCGAAGGCGCUCUUUGGUCUGUAACUGACGCUGAGGCGCGAAAGCGUGGGGAGCAAACAGG
rnacentral:rRNA from 1 species